rnacentral:tRNA from 1 species
ACGUGCAGGGUUUCGGUGCGCUGAGCGCGCAGGCCAAGGCUUCGCCGCAAGCCGGCAUGAAGAUGGCUGCUCAGCAGUUCGACGCUGUUUUCACGCA